AUACGGAGGAUCCGAGCGUUAUCCGGAUUUAUUGGGUUUAAAGGGUGCGCAGGCGGCCAUUUAAGUCAGCGGUUAAAUCGUGGGGCUCAACCCCAUUCUGCCGUUGAUACUGGGUGGCUUGAUUGCGGUCGAGGUUUGCGGAAUUCGUUGUGUAGCGGUGAAAUGCAUAGAUAUGACGAAGAACACCGAUUGCGUAGGCAGCUGACCAGACCGCAAAUGACGCUCAUGCACGAAAGUGCGGGGAUCGAACAGGAUUAGAUACCCUGGUAGUCCGCACAGUAAACGAUGAAUACUUGUUUUCGGCGAUAUAAUGUCGGAGGCAAAGCGAAAGCGAUAAGUAUUCCACCUGGGGAGUACGCCGGCAACGGUGAAACUCAAAUGAAUUGACGGGG
rnacentral:rRNA from 1 species